AGAGAGAGACAUGCGCGCAUAUCAAUAAGCGGAGGAAAAGAAACUAACUAAGGAUUCCCUCAGUAACGGCGAGUGAAGCGGGAAGAGCUCAAAUUUGAAAUCUUCAAGGUUUUACCUUGACGAAUUGUAGUUUAAAGAAGUGUUUUCUGUUGGAGUUUUGGUAAAAGUUCUUUGGAAUAGGACAUCAUAGAGGGUGAGAAUCCCGUAUUUGACCAUUACUUUCAGCUUUGUGAUACACUUUCAAAGAGUCGGAUUGUUUGGGAAUGCAGUCCAAAAUGGGUGGUAAAUUUCAUCUAAAGCUAAAUACUGGCGAGAGACCGAUAGCGAACAAGUACCGUGAGGGAAAGAUGAAAAGAACUUUGAAAAGGAGAGUUAAACAGUACGUGAAAUUGUCAAAAGGGAAGCGUUUGACACCAGUGUUGUUUUCUCGAAAAUCAAUUAAAAAGAGUUAGGAUUUUGUUGUGUAUUGACCUUAUCAGCUUCUGCAUUUCAUUUUCUUGUCUUUUUUAAUGCACUUUUCGUUUAACAAGUCAACAUCAAUUUCUUUUGUUGUAAAAGGGUCAUUGGAAGGUGGCUUUCUUUUCGGAGAAAGUGUUUAUAGCCUUUGGCCUCUGCAAUCGGAGAGAUUGAGGUCUGCAGCGUAGAUCCUUCGGGGUUAGAUACAUUUGUGCUAAGUUAUAGCCUUUCAUAGACAACUUGUUGACUAUGAUCAGUCAUGUAGCUUACUCGCUUAUGCUAUUUUACCUACGCUUAGGAUGUUGAUGUGAUACUGCGAGCA
rnacentral:rRNA from 1 species